GGCGACGGUGCCAAGGUCUUCACCCUGACCGAGGUCUCGCAGCACAACACCCCCAAGGACUGCUGGCUCAUCAUCAACGGCAAGGUCUAUGAUGUAACAAAAUUCUUAGAGGAUCACCCUGGAGGUGAUGAUGUAUUAUUGUCAUCAACAGGGAAGGAUGCGACCGAUGAUUUUGAGGACGUUGGGCACAGUACCAGUGCAAGGGCAAUGAUGGACGAGUAUUUUGUUGGAGAGAUUGAUUCAUCAACAAUUCCUACCAAAACCAAAUAUGUCCCUCCUAUACAACCUCAUUACAAUCAGGACAAGACCUCCGACUUCGUCAUCAAGCUUUUCCAGUUUUUGAUUCCGCUGGCAAUCUUGGGAGUGGCUAUUGGCAUUCGAUUCUAUACAAAAUCAUCUUAGAAAUUCUAAGCGUAUGCAUUUGUGUGAGUUGGUUACUUGUUUGGUUGUUUCUUCUCUCGUAUUAGCUCUGCAUCUGUGUCGAGUUGGUUAAUUGUUUGCUUGUGUCGUAUCUCUCUCAAACUG
rnacentral:misc_RNA from 1 species